UACCGCAUACGCCCUACGGGGGAAAGCAGGGGAUCGCAAGACCUUGCACUAUUAGAGCGGCCGAUAUCGGAUUAGCUAGUUGGUGGGGUAACGGCUCACCAAGGCGACGAUCCGUAGCUGGUUUGAGAGGACGACCAGCCACACUGGGACUGAGACACGGCCCAGACUCCUACGGGAGGCAGCAGUGGGGAAUUUUGGACAAUGGGGGAAACCCUGAUCCAGCCAUCCCGCGUGUGCGAUGAAGGCCUUCGGGUUGUAAAGCACUUUUGGCAGGAAAGAAACGUCAUGGGUUAAUACCCUGUGAAACUGACGGUACCUGCAGAAUAAGCACCGGCUAACUACGUGCCAGCAGCCGCGGUAAUACGUAGGGUGCAAGCGUUAAUCGGAAUUACUGGGCGUAAAGCGUGCGCAGGCGGUUCGGAAAGAAAGAUGUGAAAUCCCAGAGCUUAACUUUGGAACUGCAUUUUUAACUACCGAGCUAGAGUGUGUCAGAGGGAGGUGGAAUUCCGCGUGUAGC
rnacentral:rRNA from 1 species